GGAGAGAUGGGUGAGAGGCUGAAACCACCGGUUUGCUAAACCGACGUAGGUAGUAAUAUCUACCGCGGGUUCGAAUCCCGCUCUCUCCGCCA
rnacentral:tRNA from 1 species